rnacentral:rRNA from 1 species
GACCUCAAAUCAGGUAGGACUACCCGCUGAACUUAAGCAUAUCAAUAAAGCGGAGGA